rnacentral:rRNA from 1 species
CCCUUAGAUGUUCUGAACCGCACGCGUGUUACACUGAUGCAUUCAACGAGCUUUACCUUGGCCGAGAGGCCUGGGAAAUCUUUUUAGCAUGCAUCGUGAUAGGGAUUGAUUAUUGCAAUUAUUAAUCAUGAACGAGGAAUUCCUAGUAAACGCAUUUCAUCAAAAUGCAUUGAUUACGUCCCUGCCCUUUGUACACACCGCCCGUCGCACCUACCGAUUGAGUGGUCCGGUGAAGUCUCGAGAUUGUGGCAAUCUCCUUUAUUGGAGUUUGACUGCGAGAACUUGCCUAAACCUUAUCACUUAGAGGAAGGUGAAGUCGGAACA